rnacentral:rRNA from 1 species
ACUGAAUAGAUACCCUGGUAGUCCACGCCCUAAACGAUGUCGACUAGGUGUUCGGUGAGGAGACUCAUUGAGUACCGCAGCUAACGCGUGAAGUCGACCGCCUGGGGAGUACGGUCGCAAGAUUAAAACUCAAAGGAAUUGACGGGGACCCGCACAAGCGGUGGAUGAUGUGGAUUAAUUCGAUGCAACGCGAAAAACCUUACCUACCCUUGACAUGUACGGAACCCUGCUGAGAGGUGGGGGUGCUCGAAAGAGAGCCGUAACACAGGUGCUGCAUGGCUGUCGUCAGCUCGUGUCGUGAGAUGUUGGGUUAAGUCCCGCAACGAGCGCAACCCUUGUCAUUAGUUGCUACGCAAGAGCACUCUAAUGAGACUGCCGGUGACAAACCGGAGGAAGGUGGGGAUGACGUCAAGUCCUCAUGGCCCUUAUGGGUAGGGCUUCACACGUCAUACAAUGGUCGGUACAGAGGGUUGCCAAGCCGCGAGGUGGAGCCAAUCCCAGAAAGCCGAUCGUAGUCCGGAUCGCAGU